UUUGCUGUAUCAAUUGCUGAAUUAAAUCUUCCAUUGUUACAAUUAUGUAUGAUGCUUCAAUGAGCAUUCCUUAUCAAAUCAUCAUCAGUGUAUGAGUAAGGGAUGCUCUCAUGAGCCAUGCGUAAUUAGGCCACCAUAGCACCUAAGAUGCCCAAUGAGUAGACUGUGUGUUGUGCCUCAACGCUUUUCUUUUUUCUUAGAAACCCGGUGGUGGAAGUCUAUCUCAGUUCCAUUAUGAAUUUAUCACAUCCGAUAUGGAUAUAUCUUGCCAAACUUUCCAAAUUGAUUCAGUUCCUGAGGCUACAACCAAGUUCAACGGGUCCAUAGGAAUUAUUUCCUACCAAUGAUGUUGCUACAACACACUGGGCACAGCAGGCUCUGCUAUAUUUCAAGAAGUCUUCAAAUCAAAGAAUCAAUCUUAAAGUGAAGCAUUCGAAUUGCAAAAAGCCAAUAUGCUUACAUUAUAGAUAUAAAAUGACGCCAAAACAUAUAAACCACACGACAAUAUCACUAUUAAAUUAUUCAAUCUUCAUGCUCGCAUGUAAUGACAAACAUAACUUGUUUUCACUUGUUUCUUUUAUCCAAGCAAAGAAUCUGAUUUGGAACUCGUGCAGUAGCUUGUAAGAGUAUUUGUAUGGAAGUAUUGCUGAAUGCUC